rnacentral:lncRNA from 1 species
CUGGAGUCCAGGACAGGGCGGGGCCAGAGUCCCGGGUUGACCGUGCUCAGGCGUCCGGCGGCCCCGGAGGUCAAGGCCCGGCAAGUCAGUGAGCAGAGCAGACCUCUGAGGAAGCAGGCCGAAAGGCAGAGGGUCGCCCGGGCCGGGCCCAGCGCACCUCGGGUCACCAGUCCAAGGGCGCUGUCCCCGCAGUGGGUCUGUGCCCGGACGUCUGCAGCAGAACGCACCCGACCCAGGCAAUGCCCGGCGCCGAGGGGUCCGGAAGUCGGCCAGCUGUAGCCGCCGGGCCGCGGGGCCGAGGGGAAGGAGCGGGCGGUCCGGGCCGACCACCGCAGGGCCGGGGCGCCGAAGGGAAGGACUGGACACUCAUGCUGAGAAGCAGAGUUCUGAGAGGGCCAACUGCAGACGCACCUGGAGGGGUGCCCCCAGCACCCGACGUGCCACCCCCAUGGGGCGUGGAGCAGGGUCAGCAUCCACUAGUUCUGGUUGUCCCUCCACACAUGAGAGUUCAGCGCCACAGGAGCAACCGUGGACUCAGGAUCUGCAAGUUGGAGCGGGACGUGGGUCUGGGUUGGGGGAGCACGGCUCAGGGGGGCCCUGUGGCCCUCAGGGCUCGUGUCCUCCAGGCUUGGGGGGCUUUCACAGUGCCCAGGAUGGAAACAACCCACAGGCGUUCCACAGCUGAGCUCACAGCCCUGUUUUUUCUCAAAAGUGAGGCUAUUCCUCCCACAUAAGCUGAUCUCAGGAUGAAGCCAGACGGCCUGGGUGGAGCCCAGUUGCAGCACCCAACAUACGCUCUCCACCUCAGAGGACAGUGUUGUGGUCGGCCAAGGGCUACAGCCAGGUCAGGGAAUGCCCAGGCCAGACUAGGAAGGCCAGCUGGAGGUGGAGAUGGAGCAGGACGGUGGGCCAGAGGGUGGGGAGGAGUGAGGUAUGUGCGG